rnacentral:rRNA from 1 species
GGGGGGGGGGGGGGGGGGGCGUGGCGCGUGGGGGGGGGGGGGGGAGGGCCUGCGUGUGGGGGGUGGGCGAGGGGCGCACGGGUGGGUGGCACGGGCGUGCGGGGGCCUUGGCUUGGGGGUAACUUCGGGAGCCUGGGGCUGGUCCCGGAUCGGAGCUCCUGCUGCAUGGUGUGGGGUGGACAGUUUCGGCGGUUGGGGCUGGACUCUCGGCUUCUCACAUUGUUGGUGGGGUAGUGGCUUACCAAGGCUUUGACGGGUAGCCGGCCUGAGAGGGUGACCGGCCACAUUGGGACUGAGAUACGGCCCAGACUCCUACGGGAGGCAGCAGUGGGGAAUAUUGCACAAUGGGCGGAAGCCUGAUGCAGCAACGCCGCGUGCGGGAUGACGGCCUUCGGGUUGUAAACCGCUUUCGCCUGUGACGAAGCGUGAGUGACGGUAAUGGGUAAAGAAGCACCGGCUAACUACGUG